UAAUAUGAUUCUCAUCAUAUUAGAAUUAUAAUGUCAAUGUUGGCACCUUUGAAUGUGGAGCGGGCAGUGUGUGUCGCUGUCAUUGGUUGGAAAGAGGUGUAGACACGGGUUGUAUUCCAGUUACUGUAUAAUUGUUAUUGGCAUAUAUGACAAGAAUUGUAAUUAUUAUUGAGAUACAUAUAUUGUUUUCUUACUUAUUAACAAGUUUGGUAUUGGUUAGUAAUGUGUAUUUGUUUGUCAAGAGGAAGUUUUCUUUUAGGGUCUGUGUAUGUAACACGGAUAUAUAUUAUACCGCACUCAGGGUGUAGGGGGAAGGUAGGCAGAGGUACAGUUGGUGCCUGUCAGGGGUGAGUGGCGGUUGUUUGACUGAGGUGAGUUUUGUGAUAACAUUAUUUCUCUGAUUUGUUUGACUUAUGUUAUGCCGCUGAUUGUGCAUAUUGGUUGGUGUUAUAUUGAAUGCGGUGCUGAUAGGAGGAUUUGAUUAAGUGUAACUUUGCAGCAUAGUUGGGGUAAUGCUGUAAUCAGACAUAUGGUGAAGUCUGCCUUGGCUGAUGAUGGGCGGUCAUUUUGCUGAAUCAAUCAAUAAAUCAAGAUACAGCAAGUCAGCCCAAUCAUAGUCAUUAUCCUACACUACAAUUCAGCAAAAUUCGCAGAGCAGCCAUGGAUGACUUGAAAAGGGAACGUGCUAAUGCCAAGAGGAGAUUCACCAGGAAGGUGGGACUCUUCAAGGAUGCACACAAGAGAGGAGACUCCACAGCAACCCUACAAGUAUUGUAUAGUGAAGUUUGUGAUUCUUUCAAAGUAGUGGAUGUGGUGAAUGAGAAAAUUAUUGACCUUUUAGAUGGUAGUUCAUCUUGCCAAGAGUAUGAAGACUAUAUCAUGGAAUUGGAAACUAUAAAGUGCACUCUUCUUGAGACAUUAAAAGAAAAACCUAAGGCUGUACUUGCCAUGAAAAAAAUUGAGCCUCCUAAAUUUGGUGGAUCUGUAAGGUCAUUUCCCUCAUUUAUUAGGGAUUAUACAAGACUGGUUGAAUCACAACAUGGUGAGGAUCCCUAUGUACUCAGAAUGUCACUAGAGGGGGAACCCAGGAGACUUGUAGAAGAUUUAAAUGAUUACAAAAGAAUGUGGGAGAGAUUGAAUGAAACAUAUGGUCAUGAAGGAAAGUUAAUUGAUUCAAUCUUGGGAGACAUUAGGUCAUAUAAGCCAAUAAGUGAAGGUGAUGAUAAACGGUUAAUCAAGCUAAUCAAUACUGUAGAAAAGGUAUGGUUAGAUGUAAGCAACUUGAACCUAACAAAGGAGUUGGAGAAUGUUACUGUCCUGACUCAAGUAGAAAAAUUGUUACCCUCUAUGUUGAAAAAGGAAUGGGCUAGUAAAGUACAACAAGUGAAGACUGACAAGUUUAAAGAGUUGGUUGCAUUCUUAACAGAGCAUCGAAAAGCUUUAGAAUACUUACAAGAUGAGUCAAGACUUGGUGCGUCAAAGGUAACGGUGCAUACCACUGAUGUAUCAAACACAAAAGAAAAUGACUUAUUAGAAGUCAUAAAACUGUUAGCUGUGGGACAAGAGAAACUACAAAACCAGAUGUCAGAGUGUUUAACUAAUAUAGCUCAAGUAGCAGAUGGAAGAUAUUGCAGUAGGAAUUACACAUCAAAAGUUAAUGGUGAUCAGAAGGAGAAGUAUUGUCUUGUUCAUGAUAGUGAAUCUCAUCACUUACAGGAUUGUAUGACAUUUAAGCAAUGGACAGCUGAAAAUCAAAUGGAUUUUUUAAAGCAAAAUAGAAUUUGUUUUGCAUGUCUCAAAAGAGGGCACCUAUCUAGGGAUUGUGAUAAGCAAAUGCCUUGUAGAGUAAAGGUAAAGGGAGACAUUUGUGGUAAGCACCACCAUUCAAUUUUGCACCCUAUAUUUAGCAGUCCUUAUACUUCUACAAUGGAUGUUAUGAGUAACCAUUUGACAAAGAAAGGUGCAUUUUUGAUGACUGGGUUUGUGGAUAGUGGAGGUGUUUCUGUUCCCACAUUAUAUGAUGCAGGAAGUAACAUCAGUCUGAUCACUUUUAGAAUGGCAAAGCAACUAGGACUCAAAGGUACUCCUAUACAGCUUUCAGUGACAAAGGUCGGUGACCACACAGAAGAAUUGGAUAGUUUUGUUUAUAAGAUGUCCUUGAGGGAUCAAACAGGGAAGGAAAAAUUUGUUGAAGUUUGUGGAAUUUCCGAAAUAACUGGUGCUCAUCAACAGGUGAAUUUAUCGGAAAUUGCUAAGAAAUUUGAAGUGCAAGAAAAGGAUAUCCAAAGGCCUGAAGGGCGUAUAGAACUACUAAUAGGAUCUGAUCACUGUACUUUAAUGCCACAAGUUAAAAAAACCAUAGAUAAUGUUCAGUUAAUGUCAAAUGAGUUUGGUUUCUGUAUCAGAGGUAGAUUGGAUGACAAAGGAAAGGGACAUAGCUAUUGCGUGCAAAUUAAUCACGUGAGUUGUAAUGACACCACAGAUUGGCAUUUCAGGACUAAACCUAAUGUGGGCAAGUUGAUAGAAAAUUAUUUUUUGAAUGAAAGCUUAGGAACAGAAUGCAAUCCUAAGUGUGGAGGCUGCAAAUGUGGAAAAUGCUCAACCAAGGGAAAUUUAACCAUUAAGGAAGAAAGAGAGAAGAAACUUAUUGAAGAUGGAUUAACUUAUGAUGCGAAACAUCAGUGCUGGAUAGCUAAGUAUCCUUGGAUUUAUGAUCCGGCUAAACUACCUGAUAAUUAUCCUAUGGCAUUUGCUAGAUUAAAGGCCACUGAACAGAGAUUAAUGAAGAUGGGGUCGACCCAGUGUGUAAAGUAUCAAGAACAAAUAAAAGACAUGUUGGAUAGAGGAGUAGCGGAGAAAUUAUCAAAGGAGGAAGUAAUGACUUACAAGGGUCCAAAGUUUUAUCUACCCCAUCACGAAGUUUACAAGGUAGACUCCAUUUCAACCCCAGUAAGGAUAGUGUUUAAUGCAGCAGCAUCCUACAAAGGGAUCUCUCUCAAUGACAUGCUUGCAAAGGGGCCAGAUGUGAUAAACAACUUAAUUGGAAUCUUGCUGAGAUUCAGAGAGGAGGAGAUUGGUAUGGUUGGAGAUAUUAGAAAAAUGUAUCAUACUGUAAAGCUUUCAGAUGAAGAUAUGCACACUCACAGAUUUUUAUGGAGGAACUUUCAACUAGAGAGAGAACCCUCACACUAUAAAUUGAAGACGGUAACAUUUGGAGACAAACCUUCUGGGCCGAUAGCAAUGUUGGCUCUUCGUAAAACAGCAGAAAUGAAUUGUGACUUCCCAUUAGCCUCUAAAAUGAUUGUAGAGGAUUCCUAUGUUGACGAUAUCAUAAGUAGUGUUGGUUCAACGAAUCAUGCAAUGGAAAGAAUCAAAGAAGUGGAGGAAGUUUUAAGACCAGGAGGUUUUCAGAUUAAAUAUUGGAUUCUCUCUGGAGAGGAUAACAGAAAUGAUGCCAUAAUCUCGAACACUGAUCAAGAAAAGGUUUUAGGGUUAGAAUGGAAACCCAAACAAGAUGUAUUUUCAUUUAAAGUUAAACUCAACUUCUCGAAAAGAACAAGAGAGGGCAGGACAGAACCAAAUGUGAGCUAUGGUGACUUUGAAAGCCGUAUCCCGUGUAUGUUGACUAAAAGAACUGUACUGUCGCAGUUUGCUACACUCUAUGAUCCUCUGGGACUGUUAACACCAUUCACACUGAAAACCAAGUUAAUGAUUCGCUCCAUUAUACUAGAAGCUAAUGAAAACAAAUCUAAGGGAUGGGAUGAGCCUAUCAGUGGAACUUUGUAUUUAGAAGCAGUGGAUUUAUUUCGGGAAAUGCUUGAAAUUGAAAAACUUACUUUUGGAAGAUGCUUAAGGACUACAGAUGUGACUACAGAUCCAGAGUUAAUUAUCUUUUGUGAUAGUAGCAUGAAAGCAUAUGGAGCUGUAGCUUACAUUAGGUGGAAGAAGCAGAAUGGCACAUAUUGUGUAAAACUCUUAUGUUCAAAGAAUAGAAUUGCUCCUAUGAGGCAAAUCAAUAUACCUAGACUGGAAUUGUGUGCUGCAGUUUUGGCAAGCAGAUUGAGAGUAUCCAUUGAAGGAGAAAUGAGAUACAACUAUUCUAGGAUAAUCCACAUCACAGAUAGUGAGAUUGUAAGGGCACAAAUCCAAAAGGAAUCACAUAGAUUUAACACCUUUGUUGGAAGUAGAGUUGCAGAGAUUCAAUCAAAGACAGAGCCCAUAGAAUGGUAUUGGGUAUCUUCUAAGGAAAACAAUGCUGAUUUAACCACCAGGGAAUGCAGUCCCUUAGAGUUAGGGACAGGAUCUGUAUGGCAAAGUGGUCCACAAUUUCUCUAUUGUGACUUCUCAGAAUGGCCAGUUAAACAGAAUACAGUGUCUGAUCUCCCUGAUACUGUGUUUGCAAAGGUAACCAUGAACUCAGGAGAGAUUACUACACCUAAUGAGUUAAUCAACAUCCAAAAUUUCAGCAAUUUGAAACGGCUUUUGUCGGUAAUGGCUCGAGUCAUAAAUGUAGUAAGAAAGAGAUCAUUUAAAGCUAUAAUAUGUGAUCCUAAUGCAGAGGAUAUACAGAGAGCAGAAUUAUUUCUUGUUAAGAACGCUCAAACAAGCCUGCCACAAGACUGGGAAAAGAAAUAUAAACGUCUAGGACCAAGGAUGAGAGAAGAUGGCAUUAUCACUGUGGGAAGUCGAAUGUCAAAAUGGGUAAAAGACAAUUGGAAUUGUGAUCAGUUCAUGUUACUCCCAUCAAAGCAUCCAUUUUCUGAACUGUAUCUGUCCCACAUACACAAGGAAGAUCAUAGUGGAAUAGAAGCGGGCCUUGCUAGAGCUCAAGUGAAAUACUGGGUAUUAGGUGCGAGGAAGACAAUGAAAUCUAUUAGAAAACAAUGUGUAACUUGCCAUAGAAUAGAUAAGAUCUGCACAUCCCAGUGUAUGGGUGAACUACCUAAGGAAAGACUAGAGCCAUGUCCACCAUUUUACAAUGUAAGUGUUGACCUGUUCGGUCCUCUUUGGGUUUGUGAUACGGUGAAAAGAAGAGUGAAAAGAAAAACGUUUGGAGUAAUUUUCAAUUGCAUGACAACAAGGGCUGUACAUUUAGACCUUUCCGAAGGUUAUGAUACUCAAAACUUUCUUACUGUAUUGAAGAGAUUCACUUGUCUUAGAGGAUUUCCCAAAAAAUUAUAUUCAGAUAAUGGUACACAGUUAGUGUAUGCAAACAAGGAAUUGAGAGAUAUGGUUACUCGGUGGAAUAAGCAUGAAGUGUUCAAUUUUGGAAAAUUUAAUGGUUUAAUCUGGGUAUUCAAUAGAUCAGCAGAUGCCCCUUGGGAAAAUUCUUGCAGAGAAGCGUUAAUUAGAUUAGUCAAGAGAUCUCUCACUAGAAUCAUAGGUGAAUCAGUCAUAUCCUUUGGAGAACUACAGUCUGUUAUGUAUGAGGUGGCCAAUGUAUUGAAUGAACGGCCUAUCGGGUUCAAACCAGGUGAAGAUUUUGAUGAAGGGACUGUAUUGAGACCUAAUGACUUACUACUGGGUCGAUCUACCAUUGAUGCUCCUUGUGGAUUUUGGAAUGAACGGGGAGAAGUAAGUAGAUCAUAUGCAUUUAAGAUUAAGGUCAUUGAUUUAUUUUGGAAAAAUUGGAUGAAGAACUACUUUCCUACUCUAAUUGUACGCCAAAAGUGGCAUGUGAGUGUAAGAAAUGUUCGGAAGGGUGACAUUGUACUUGUUAAUGAUCAUAAUGUAUUAAGAGGAGAAUGGAAGUUAGCGGAAGUUGUAGAAGGUAUACCAGGAAGGGAUGGAAAGAUCAGAGAUGUGUUGUUGAGGUAUAAAAUUAAUGAACCAGGAAAACAGUACAGGGGCCAACAUGACAAGCAAAUGGUAAGAUCAGUACAUAGACUGGUGGUGUUGCUCCCAGUCGAUCAACAAUAGAAGUAUAGAAGCCUUUGAUUUGUGGUGGGGGGAGUGUAAUAUGAUUCUCAUCAUAUUAGAAUUAUAAUGUCAAUGUUGGCACCUUUGAAUGUGGAGCGGGCAGUGUGUGUCGCUGUCAUUGGUUGGAAAGAGGUGUAGACACGGGUUGUAUUCCAGUUACUGUAUAAUUGUUAUUGGCAUAUAUGACAAGAAUUGUAAUUAUUAUUGAGAUACAUAUAUUGUUUUCUUACUUAUUAACAAGUUUGGUAUUGGUUAGUAAUGUGUAUUUGUUUGUCAAGAGGAAGUUUUCUUUUAGGGUCUGUGUAUGUAACACGGAUAUAUAUUAUACCGCACUCAGGGUGUAGGGGGAAGGUAGGCAGAGGUACAGUUGGUGCCUGUCAGGGGUGAGUGGCGGUUGUUUGACUGAGGUGAGUUUUGUGAUAACAUUAUUUCUCUGAUUUGUUUGACUUAUGUUAUGCCGCUGAUUGUGCAUAUUGGUUGGUGUUAUAUUGAAUGCGGUGCUGAUAGGAGGAUUUGAUUAAGUGUAACUUUGCAGCAUAGUUGGGGUAAUGCUGUAAUCAGACAUAUGGUGAAGUCUGCCUUGGCUGAUGAUGGGCGGUCAUUUUGUGAGUACUAUUUUAUAUGUAUCGUGUGUCAUUGCAAUAGUGAAUAAUAGAAUGGGAUAUGUGUUCAUCUUAUGUUAUUCUUCUGUUUACUGGGUGAAGUUACAAGAUAUUGAAGGGAGUUACAUGAUAUUGAGGUAUGCUGUGUUUAUGUUGACAUUAAAUUUGCAGGCUGAAUCAAUCAAUAAAUCAAGAUACAGCAAGUCAG